CUUACUAGGUGUGGUAAAAGGACAAACACAACACACAUAUAUACUUGAGAGAUAUUUAAUAAUGAUUAUAGUUUUAUUUUAUUUUUGUUAAGCUAAAAAUAUUCUCGGUGCGUAACUUUAUAGACUAAUAUUUUUGAGGUAACAAAGAUUUAUUUAGAGGGUUGACAUGUCCCAAUUUUUUUCUCAUGCACAUGUGUUAGAGAUCGAACCCUAGAUCAAAUGAUUAAGAAACACAAAAUAUCUAUUUGUGUCACAUUAUGUUAGCAAUCAUGAUUAUAAUUUUAUGAACGGUUUUUACAUCAAGGGCUAAAAAUAUUUUUUUAUUAUUAGUACAACAUAAACUUUAUACACUAUAAAGAGAUCAAAUUAUAUUCUAUUUUAUACAUGAAAAGAGGAAAAAAUAUGGCUAACAUUCUCAAGAUUGUUUGUGCUAUGAUUCUAUUUCUUUCAUUGUUUCUUGUUGCAACGGAAGCUGGUGGUCGUAGUAAGCCAUUUUUUACCCUUUUUAAAUUUUAAUCUUUACUUUGUACUGUAGUUCGUACAUAAUCAUUUACAAUUUUUUUGGUAAAAUUACUUAUAUUAUCUCUUUUUAUUACAGAAUAUUAUAAAUGUGGAACCGAUGCCGAUUGUCCGGAUAUGUGGAGCGAGUUUUUUGUUCAAAAGUGCGUUGAUCACAAAUGUAAAUGGUUGUGGAAAUAGAGUUAGAGACAUAAUUUUUAAAGAUGGUUUAGUAGGCUUAAAAUAAGCAAUUUUGACCCCCCAAAUUUUGCAAUUUAGCGAUUUUAGCCCUUCAAAUUUAAAAUAAGCAAUUUUAACCCGUCAUCUUUAUCUCAUUUUUCAUUUUAUAGUCCCUCAUGCAUUUUGACAAAUUUUGACAUAAAACACUAACAUGACUAGUUUUUAAUGAAAUGACAUCUCAAUGUGUUUGUCAAUGUGAAAAUAACAUCUUNN
rnacentral:lncRNA from 1 species